UAUGAUCCAGAGUACCACGGGACACGUGAAACCCUGUGGGAAGCAGGAGGGACCACCCUCCAAGGCUAAAUACUACCUAGUGACCGAUAGCGUAUAGUACCGUGAGGGAAAGGUGAAAAGAACCCCGGGAGGGGAGUGAAAUAGAACCUGAAACCCUGCACUUACAAGCUGUGGAAGCACAUUUCUUGUGUGACCGCGUACUUUUUGUAGAACGGGCCAACGAGUUACGUUAAGUAGCAAGGUUAAGCACUUAAGGUGCGGAGCCGUAGCGAAAGCGAGUUUUAACUGAGCGUUCAGUUACUUGACGUAGACCCGAAACCGGGCGACCUACCCAUGAGCAGGAUGAAGCGAAAGUAAAAUUUCGUGGAGGUCCGAACCCACGAGCGUUGAAAAGCUCGGGGAUGACUUGUGGGUAGCGGUGAAAUUCCAAUCGAGCCCGGAGAUAGCUGGUUCUCCCCGAAAUAGCUUUAGGGCUAGCCUCAAGGUGAGAGAUACGGAGGUAGAGCACUGAAUGUCCUAGGGGGUAUUGCACCUACCGAAGACUAUCAAACUCCGAAUGCCGUCAUCUUAUACUUGGGAGUCAGACUGUGGGUGAUAAGAUUCAUAGUCGAAAGGGCAACAGCCCAGAUCGUCAGCUAAGGUCCCUAAAUGUAAGUUAAGUGGUAAAGGAUGUGGGAUUGCACAGACAACCAGGAUGUUGGCUUAGAAGCAGCCACUCAUUCAAAGAGUGCGUAAUAGCUCACUGGUCGAGUGAUCCUGCGCCGAAGAUUUCCGGGGCUAAAACUUACUACCGAAGCUACGGCAUCAGUAAUGAUGGGUAGGGGAGCUUCCCAUACGGGUUGAAGCAUGACCGUAAGGACAUGUGGACAGUAUGGGAGUGAGAAUGUUGGCAUGAGUAGCGAGAUGUGGGUGAGAAUCCCACAGG
rnacentral:rRNA from 1 species